ACCCUUGGGUAGUUCAUAAGCAUGAUGACUCGGUGUACACACAUGUGUAAGAUGUGCACCCUCAUACCUUGGUACAACAUAGGCACAUUACCCAUUCAACA
ensembl:snoRNA